AAUAAGUGCAGUUUUGCACUAUUCACGUUCAACGUUUGACCGUCCGUCUUAUUUGAAAUUUUUUUAUGAUUAGUAUUUUUAUUGCUAUUAGAUGAUAAAACAUGAAUAAUACUUUAUGUGUGACUAAAUAUUUUUAAUUUUUUCAUAAAUUCUUCAAAUAAGACGGACGGUCAAACGUUGGGCAUGAUAUUCACGGCUGCACUUAUU
rfam:Oryza sativa (indica cultivar-group) chromosome 1, whole genome shotgun sequence.